rnacentral:rRNA from 1 species
CACGUAGGGUGCGAGCGUUGUCCGGAAUUAUUGGGCGUAAAGAGCUCGUAGGCGGUUUGUUAAGUCUGCUGUGAAAUCCCCGGGCUCAACCUGGGAAUGGCAGUGGAUACUGGCAAGCUAGAGUGUGUCAGAGGAUGGUGGAAUUCCCGGUGUAGCGGUGAAAUGCGUAGAGAUCGGGAGGAACAUCAGUGGCGAAGGCGGCCAUCUGGGGACAACACUG